GCCAGGCGCCGCCAUGACAAGCAGCAUGUGAAGAUGCCGAUUUUCCUUGGGUAUAUAAGCUGUAAGGGAAAAGUAAAAUGAAGAAAAAGGGAAUCAGGCUAGAAGAACAGAAGAGAUAUCAAGACUUUCUCUGACCUGCUGAGGGUUUGCCCAUUUGUCAACACCUAAGUGAGAUCCUGACAUGGUGGAGCUCUGUUCUUCGUUCCGCUGUCACAGGAAACAUCCCAGGAGAACACAGAGAAAGAAAGGUACCGUGAAUUUGAAGCUAUCUGCAAAUCAAGAACUCCCCAUCAUCCCAAUAAACAUCACUGGGUACGUGACUACCUGAAUUGCCCACUGUCGACAGAACAUCUGGGAGAGUCCUCCACAUGAAAAGAAAAGAAAAGAAAAGGAAAGGAAAGGAAAGGAAAGGAAAGGAAAGGAAAGGAAAGGAAAGAAAAGAAAAGAAAAGAAAAGAAAAGAAAAG